rnacentral:rRNA from 1 species
CCUACGGUGGGCAGCAGUGGGGAAUAUUGCGCAAUGGGCGAAAGCCUGACGCAGCGACGCCGCGUGAGGGAUGAAGGUCUUCGGAUCGUAAACCUCUGUCAGCCGGGAAGAACUGUCACUGUGCUAAUCAGCAGUGAAUUGACGGUACCUGCAAAGGAAGCACUGGCUAACUCCGUGCCAGCAGCCGCGGUCAUACGGAGGGUGCGAUCGGUAAUCUGAAUUACUGGGCGUAAAGCGGUCGGAGGCGGUAAGUCAAGUCAAGGGUGAAAUACUCGCGCGCAACGUGGGAACUGCCUUUGAAACUGGCGAACUGGAGUGUGUGAGAGGAUAGUGGAA